ensembl:lncRNA
AUUUUUUUUAAACUUUCUGUUCUAUCCCUUUCAAUUUUACUUAUCUAUUUAUUUUGUAGAGAUGGAGUUUCACUAUGUUGCCCAAUCUGGUCUUGACCUCCUGAGCUCAAGUGAUCCACUCACCUCGGCCUCCCAAAGUGUUGGGAUCACAGGCAUUGUGCCACCGUGUCCACCAUCCUUUCAGUUUACAAAAAUAUUCUGCUAGCAUAUUUUAACUUUUCAAGACUUCUUUCUGACUCUUCUUUCUUAAAUAGCAUCCUAUUCUUCUUCUUUGUUUUGAGACAGAGCUUUGUUCUUAUUGCCCAAGCUGGAGGAUCUCAGUUCACUGCAACUUCUGCUUCUCAGGUUCAAGUGAUUCUCCAGCCUCACCUCCCAAGUAGCUGGGAUUACAGGCAUCUGCCACCCUGCCAAGCUAAUUUGUUGAGUUUUUAGUACAGACCAGGUUUCACUAUGUUGGCCAGGCUGGUCUUGAACUCCAGUGAUCCACCGGAGUGGACCUCAGGUGAUCCACUCACUUCCCAAAAAGUGCUUGGCCAAAUAGUACCUUAUUCUUGUUUCAUAGCUCUCAAUCUUGCUCCAUUCUUUGUUAUAUAUUUUAUAUUAAAUAUGUUUUACUUUUUUUCCUCUUCCACAUUUCUCUCUUUUUUGGUAUAUUUUUUAUGUUAAAGACUUUCGUCAAGUCCUGGAUACCCACAAGCCAGCCUUUUAAAGGCUGAAGUACUCACAGGUUGAGCGGAAUAGCUGAGCUGAGGAGGGACUCCUUGAUUACUGGAUGCUACGACAGGAUUCCCAGUUUUACGACCACCUGGGAGGAAGAUGUGUUACACCUUUCUCAAAAGCUGAGAACACAGAGGCUCAGAGAAGUGAGAUGACAUGGGAGACUCACAGCCAGACCUUUCGAGAGACAAAUAUUUGCCACAAACAAUCGCUGAUCCCUUCACCCAAGGGAGGGCUAGGGAGUACUCCCUCUGACCCAUGUUGCAGAAGAAGAAAGCCCUUGCAGUGGCUGAGAGGGCAAAAAGGGAGACAUUUCCAAACAGCAAAAGGACAAUGUUCUCUUCUAGAGGAGCUAGAAGACGCAGGUCUAACCACGGAGCAGCCUUCUCUAGUCUCCUGCCAGAGCUCUCCCAUUGGUUUGAAGAAGUCAAGCCAAACAGAAUCAGAAGCCAGAGGACAAAAGAUUCCUUGAUAUGAUGACAGCCCGUAGAGAUCAGCCUCUUAGGGCACAAAACAGGCUGAAGAAGAGCAGAUAGGAGAUCAAGAGGGACAAAUUAUUGUACAGAAUCAUUUUUUUUUUCUGGAAAAUCUUCACUCAAAUUGUCACUGGAAUGCUAAUUUUAAAGACAAAUGUCAUUUUAAAAUUUUCAAUUGGCACCAUUUUGUUUCUAGAUGGUAGAAUAAAUUUCAAACAAAAUACAUCACUGAGAACAGGUCCUGCUUUCUAUGAUUCUUUGUUCCGUCAUUGUGAGUGGCCACUUACUUAGUCUUGAAUAUGGUCAGUGCCAAAUAAAUGAUUGAAUUGAAUUUGCUCUAGCUUCACAGUGCACCAUUCUCUAUUUGCCUGUAUUUCUGUUGCCUGGUAACUUUCAAAGUCUUCAUUCUAUAAAAAACAAAGGUGAGAGAAAAAGCAAAACCAAAAAUACUCAGGAUUUUUUCUCCCUGGUAUCACAAAGUAAAAUACACGACAAAACAUGGAGUGCUGUUACACAUUGAGGAGAAAGAUUAAUUUGAAAAGUAAGGAAGCAGGUUUCCCCACCAUGCUUGGCUUUGGCUAUGCCAUGGUCCAUUAUGGCCAAAGGAGAGCUACAGGGCCAGGGUAGGUCUGAGGGAAACUCCCUGUUCAGACUUGGUGGGCCCCAGAGCUGCACACGCACACUGCAAAGAAGAGCAAUGGGCCCUGUUAUUGGUGGCCAGGAGCAAUUGCUCUUUCAUCAGGGCUUUUUCUAGGCCUUCUCCAUUUUUCUAGCAUGCAUUGCAGUUAGCAUAUUCCAGAAAUGGAUAUACCUUUGGCUUUCCUAGGAGACUAAUGUGGAAGAGAGUGGGUGUUGGCUACCUAGACUUGGUCAAAGAGGGUCCUGGCUUUCUUGGAAGCCUUGAAACCUGGUGACUCCCUUGGGUCUGUCUGAAGCUGUCUUAUAUUCAGGAUAGAGUGCAUCACCAUGAAUUGUUUUGUCGUCAUUAUAUCCUAAAAUGGUAAAACAUGCCUCAUGGGCAUAAAAAUCACAUAUGGGGUCAAACUGAUGGUUAUGACCUGGGGAGAGGAUGGCAUGCAUAUCUGUUUCAUCUUGGAGUCAGACAGAAUCUUAAGAAAACUUCUUUGUCUCCUAAGAACAAUUUAAAUCAUUGUGUUUGCUUCUCGACCUCUAUUUUUUCUUUCCAAUUUUCUAUUUCCCUUUAUAAUUGCACUUGAAAAUGUCUUUUACCAUCAGUCAGGAAACAGGAUAGACACGUAUCUGAUCACCAUUCUUUGAUGCCUAGACAUGUGUCCCAAUCUAUAGGCCAGGCAAUUGGCUAAUGAUUCCACAGUUUAAGUGGGUUGCAAAUGCAAGGGAAUUCCUACAGAAGUUUUUCACUGCUACAAGAAAUUAUUCCUACCCUUUGGUUAUAUGCUGCCAAAUGAACAGUGGAGCUGGAGCCAGAUUAAAUAUACCCUGAUGGGAAACUGGGAAACGGCUGGUGUACUUCUCAGUAGGCCCGCUCAUUUCUGUUGAACUAAAAGCUUGCUAUUGCCUAUGCAUUGGAAUUAAAAUAAGAUCGUUUCAAAUGGGGCUUUUAUUUCCUCUCGUUACUUUAUAGUCAUCUUCUCUACAGUCAUCUUUUCUGCAGAUAUUCACUGAAAGCCUUUUAAGUGCCAGGUAUUGUUUUAGAUGCUGAGAUUACAACAAGAAACAACAGGCAAAGCACCUGACUCACCAAGCUCACAUGUGAGUGGGGCAGACAUGCACGCAGGGGAGUAUGUGGGAGACAGCAGGUCUGUGAAGAAAGGUGAAGCCGUGUGAGGGGAAGCAGGUUGCAGGAUAGUCAGGGAAGGCCUCUCUGAUGAGAAUCCUUUUAGUGGAGAUCUGAAAGCUAUAAGGAGGUGUACCAAGAGUCUGCAUGACGGUCUAUGCGUGUAGCAUGUAUCUGGCUACCCAGGUACAGUAAGUGAUAGAAAGGUCAUAUCUAGAUGACAUACUUCCUCUCUCUUUCUCUCUAAAGCACAUUGCUAUAUUUUGCUGAGGUUGUGCUUUACUGCAUGUCUGAUUACCUGGAUGGCCAUUCAGAUGGCCAGAUGAUGGUGCAAAUAUAUUUAUAGGAUUUAUUGGAGCAUACUCCAGAUGGUCAGGAAUGAUCUGAAGCAGGGAACAGGGACUGAAAGAGAAGCUUCUGCCACCAAGAAGAAGGAGAACGUUCCUUCCUGGGCCUGAGUGGGAGUGGCCUGAAGAGCUGCAGAGGUCAAGUUUCAUGGGUUGGUUGUGCUUAUGGUUUUCAUGGAAGCAGAAAGCACUUUAUACAGGAGUGUUGGAAUUGCUACCUCGGCCUGUGAGCUCUUCAGUGGGUCUUGUACCUGCCUGGUUGGUGAUCCAUGCUGGCUCUGAGAGACACACUCGACAAUAAAGGUGGGGAGGUGCAACCUGAUCUGGAGGCAUCAGUGACAACAUUGAGUAGCACAGAGUUUUUUGAAGAGGAGAGUGAGGUAUUAGGAACGCAGGUUGACUUGUGAAGUUCCUUUGAAAACGUCCUUUAAGCAAGUCUUUAUAGAAGCACAAAACUUAGUUACCUCAUCUCUAAAAUGCGGGUAAUAAAGCAUCUCAUGGUGAGAAUUAGAUGACAUAAUGCAUAUAAAAUGUUUACAGUUACGUGGGACAUGUAUUAAGUGCUUAAUAAAGAAUAACGGCUACUUUGAUAAUGAACGUGGUGUUUAAGGACGACUGAUGUGGUGAUAGUGUGUAGGAAUAGUUGGAGGAGGGAUACAGUGGAACAGGGAGUGCAGUUACGUGGUGGCUUUAACAACGAAGGCACAAGACUAGUGGUAAUGAGGCUGGGAGAGAAGGCACCCAUGAGGAAUUACGGUAAGGAAGAGUUAGGAGGAUGUGGCGACUGCCUGGGAAUCUACCAUGAAGGAGAUGGAGAUCUAAAGAGAAUUAGGAUUUGGGCUGGGCAGUGGAGAGAGUGAUGGGUGGUUCAAAGUGUGAAAGUGGCAUUCACUAGGAUUGUCAAAUAACAAUAGACAGAGGAGGAUGGGCUGGGAGAGAGCCCCCCGCUGGAACAGGAGUCACACUGGAGGAAGGAGGAAUGGGGAGAGUCGAGUAAAAGUUGCAGGACGGAAACAGACCAGAACAGAGGAGAAUUGAACAAUGGCACGGCCUGUUGAUCAGAAAGGCAGCAGUACCAAAAAUGAGCUGCCUGGUCAGCUCUGCAGAGUCCAAGGAUUAAACCAGGCUGGUUGCUCCUUCCUGCCCUCCCUCCUUUCCUUCCCUUGCUUUCCUCCCUUUCUUAUUUCCAUUCUUUCUUCCUUCCCUUUUUCUCUCCUUCUCUCUUUCCCUGCAUCUCUUUCUCCCUGCCUUCCUGCCCUGCCUCCUUUCCUCUUCCUCUUCCUUCCUUCCUUCAAGAGUGGGCUAGAUCUUGAUACUAGAUGUGUAAGGAAAAUAAAUGAACCUUUGCUCUGAGGAAGUUCACUACUGAAAGUGAAUUACAGAAAAGGCUGCGUACAAAUGUGAGGUGUAGGUUCAGUGAAUGAGGCCCACUUAUUUUGGGUGAAGGAAAUAAUAAGCGAUUUUUUUUCUUCGUGAGGAUCUUUACACAGGUGAUAUGGUUUGACUCUGUUUCUGCCCAAAUCUCACGUUGAAUUGUAAUAAUCCCCACCUGUCAAGGGCAGGAUCAGGUGGAGACAAUUGAAUUGUGGCGUGAUUUCCUCCAUACCGUUCUCGUGGUAGUGAUUAAGUCUCACGAGAUCUGAUGAUUUUAUAAAGGGGAGCUCCCCUGCACGGCCCUCUUGCCUGCUGCCACGUACGGUGUGUCUUUCCUCGUCCUUCGCUUCUGCCAUGAUUGUGAGGCCUUCCCCAGCCGUGUGAAACUGUGAGUCAGUUAAACCUUUUUUUUCUUUAUAAAUUACUCAGUCUCUAGUAUGUCUUUUAGCAAUGUGAGAACAGACUAAUAUAACAGGUAAGGAGUUGUGGUCACCCCAGCUUAUUCUUUUUUGUUGAUGACCCAUGAAGCCCCUUUCUCUCAGAUUGUAGUUGCUAGGCCUGCUUCGGCAGCACCACCUUGGAAUUGGCGAGGAAUGCUAAUUCUCAGGCCUCCUCCCUAGACCUACUAAGUCUGAAGUUCUGGGCUGAGGGAGUUUUGUUUUUACACAUAGUCCCCGUGAUGCUGAGGCAGGCCAAAGCUUACGAAUGACUGCUUUAUGUUCCUAGCAUGGAGUCUUGCACUUAGUGGAUAAUCCAUACACGUGUUGAAUCCAGUUAGUAAUAUUGAAGGCUCUUUUCCCUAUCUACCAGAGAGAUGGUACUAGACUCCCAAGGUGAAAUACUAUGUAAAGUUCUCUUUGAAAGCUGGAGAAGCACUGAUUUCUUGUCCUUUUCUUACCUAGCCUGAUUUUUCCUCUUUUCCUUGAUCUCAACUGUUGUCAUAUGAAACUUGCCAUUUUGUGUGAGGCUCAGGUUAGAGUUUGGGAUGCAGUAUUUUGUGCUUAUGAGGUGAUAGUGAAUGGCCUUGAUGAAAGCGAGUCAUGAAUAGCAAUCUUUUAGUGACCGCUUCAAUUUCUAGGUUUUACAGAGUCGAGAGAGCAGCCUUUCUAGUUUAUCCUUGCUGCUUGGGCACACGACAGCCUUCAAUCCUGUUGAUUAAUGCUGCCUUCUUGGGACUUCGCCUCUUGUCUUCCAC